rnacentral:tRNA from 1 species
GGCACUUUGGCGGAGUGGUUAACGCGCUGCCCUGCUAAGUCGGGCGCGUGAGUUCGAAUCUCACAGGUGUCG